GGGACAGUGGCUUAGUGGUUAGCAUAUUUGCCUUGCACCUCUAAGGCUGAGGGUUUGAAUCCCACCUCUGCCG